AUCCAGCUGACGAGUCUCAAAUAGGACGAAAUUCGCUUUGUCCUGAAU
rnacentral:hammerhead_ribozyme from 1 species